UUAGUAAAGAAAAGCAGCCCCUUUAGAAACAAGAAAACCUCAACAGGGGACUAUCACUGAAUAUAAAGGCCUGGAACUGGGGUGUGCAACUGGAAUCCCCACCCAGGAGACUGAAGCAAGGGGAUCAUGAACUCAAAGCUAGCAUGAACUACACAGACUCUAUAUGAAGAAAGACUUCAUUUGGAGGAAGAGCAAAUGUUCUGAAGUCUUCUUUUAUACAUGUCAUAAAAAUUGUUAUUUUUGCUUUUAUUUCCUACUAACUAAAUAUCAAAUGUUUCUACAUUUUAAAAAGAUUUCUUUAUUAUAUGGGUCCCAAACACUAAUUUAUAGAAACCCCAAACUAAGGUUGUAAGAAAUCAAAACAGUGUACCAGUGUCAUUAAUUUAAUAGACUUCAAAAGAGGUCAUUAGGCUGCUGACUGAAAAUGUGCCCUCCUGUUGCAGUAACAACAUAAGCAAGGCAGCUAGUCAGCAACAUCCUGGGGCCAGGUCCAAGGCCAGACCUAUUACAAUGCUCACGACGAACUAAGUGGUAAUGGAUUGUGACAUCAAUUACAAAUAAUCUCAUCAUUUUAUUGCAGUAGGCUUGUCAGAGUUCUAAUUAAGAGCCCUGUCUUGCCUUUGUGCUGGCCAUAUCGUCACGCCUUAUAUGUUGGUAAUGACCAUCAAGAACCAGAAGGAUCUAUUAUAAAACCAUCAGCUGCAAACUAAUGACAGUGACCUUCUACUAGAUGAAGGAAGGCAGAAGUCGAUUGCUGGACGAAGGGUAAAGGUCGGACUUCCAGGUCCCAGGAGGAAGAGAAGAGGCACAGCGAAAAAAGUUGUCUUUUGACCAGAUUUUCAAACAAGCAGCAUGAACAACCAAGUAAAACUCUGUGGCACCGUCUGUCAGGCCUGCAGCCUGUCCUGCAAGCAGGGCCAAGGAGGUGGCUGGAGCUGGCUGAUACCUGGUAAGAUUAGGGCAGGAGACACACUGCUCAGCAGCUGUGCUAUCUGGCUAGUUUAAAACAAUAAAGCUAUCUAGUGUUUUCCAUCCAAGGGGCAAAGGUGGGCAGAAAAAGAGGGCAACUGGGGUGGUAGCUGGCAGCUUA
rnacentral:sRNA from 1 species